GGAGUGGAGACUGGUUUUACGACUGGAGUCCCGACUGCAGCGGUCAGAGUCUGCUUUUAAAAGAUGUUUCUCAUCAGAAAUCAUCUGAAGCUGAGCAACUGGAACAUCCUCUCUUUGGGCCUCAUCCAGUAUGGUGGCAGUCCAUAUCAUUUUCAACACUCAACUGUGCUCUUACACAAGUGGCCUCAUCCUGAUGCUUCUUUCAUUACACUGAACAUCAUUGUCUGAACAUCAGCUAUGCGUGUGAGCUGGGUGCCACACUGGAGUUCAUGCAUAGCGAGCUUGGCACGCCCUCACACAACGCAACGCAUCUACCGGAGCCCGUGUAUUGGCGGAACCGCUCUGGUGCUUGAUCAGU